GGGCUGCGCAUGCUUAGGGUGAGGACAUGGAAGCACAGGGAGGUUAUGCCACUCGCCCAAAGACAACUAAUCAGUGACAGCUGAGACUUGGACUGCAGAACCUACACUUUAUAACUAUUUUACAGUUCUGGGCGUCACGGAAUCUUGCAUGAAGAGCCCCUAACCUGGCCCGGGUGGAGGCUCUGCUUCCUCAGUGUCAGCAUCAUUCACAGCAGGCAUGUCCCUCCUGCCUCCAAGAGAGUCACCAGCAGCUUCCUCCUCCACAUCUGUGAGUAAAUGAGAGGGUCUAUUCCACCCAAUAACUCAAAUCCCAGUUUCAGGAUUUGACCUGUGGUUGGUCAGACUAGGGACACAAGCCCAUUCCUGAGCCAAUCACUGUGGCUGAAGAGGUGGGAGACACUGAUUGGUCUAAGCCAGUCAAGCACUCUCAAGGCCAAAGUGCAUGGGCAAGAAAUUUAGGACAAGGGGAGGAAGAAAGAAAAGAAAAGAGAAUAUCAAGGAGGCAAAUGACAAAUAAAUACCCACUCCUUUCUUCCCACGAGAGAGAUAUUAUUCCCCCCAUUUCAUGGAGGAGGAAACUGACGAUCAGAGCAGCCAGGAAACAGGAUGGCGUUGUCUGCUGAGGGACGGUGUGUUCCCUGGAGAGGAGAUCCAGCUUGCCAUUGUGGGUUUCUUACAGCAAAAAUCCUGUGUGUACACAUAUGCUGAACAAGGCGCACACAGUCUUCAUACUUCUUUCCCCAAAUCCACUGUUGUACCUCACUCUGGAAACCAAAGAAUACAAAUGGAGAUGAGGCUAAUUUUUGCCCCUCAAAUUGGCAAAGGUGAAUAAAACCAUGUUUCUUG
rnacentral:lncRNA from 10 species